rnacentral:lncRNA from 9 species
UAAAAACUCUUCCGGGAGGAAGAUCUCUCUCUUCUUCUCUUUUAUUUCUUCCUUCAUUUACUUAUAGCACUCUGGGCUCAUGUCUCCUUAUAAAUACUUUGUGCGAUAAUCCGAUACGGCUACUUAUUUUGUGCUCAACUUGUUCCAGCUUGGAUGGUCUUUAACAAUCCGCAUGUCAAGGUCUCUCACUUAGCAGAAGGGUCCACUGUGCCAGCCCAGCCCCAGCAAUGCUGCUUGGCCCAGAGCUUCAUCUCCUGACCCUGAAGGCUCCCGUUACAGCCUCAUGUUGCAAAGAUGUAGAUGUCUUCUCGGCGUUGACGGUUCCCUGAGGUCCACCACAUCGCCCUUCCUCAAGUCCACUGUAGAUCCACCUUCCCUAGUGUGGUCGAACCAGAGCCCGAGUCUACCACCAGCGUAUUCUCCAAAGACCCUGGUGCCAGGUAGGCUCUUUGGCAAAAUAAUGGAUAAUAGCUGAUGCCGACGCUUGAAGGCGUCAGCACAGAGAGGCGUUUGCACCCGGUAGAUGCUGAUGUUGGGGGGACACCGGGCCGGGGAUUCCCAGCAUUUGAAAGAUGCCAGCACAGCUCGUUGUUGCCAAUCAGGAGAGUUCAAGGCAAAGAGAGCGAAGUGGCUGACGCCGAAGUAUAGUUACUGUGGGUGGACAAGUGUUCUAAAUUCCAGGUUAUGCCCUUGAAGCACAGCAGGAGAGGGAGGUGGCCCGUCCUGGCAGCGCUGUGGGUGUUAGCUGAGGGAAAAGCCCCCCCCCCGCCCCGUGGGUCUUAGUACAGGGGAAAUAUUCUCGUGAUGGGAAGGAGGGAAGACAAAUAAAAUUGAAGCCACUUGGGUGAAGACUGAAUUAAUCAAUAGUGUAUAGAUAUGUACACACACACACAUAUACACACAUACAUAAAUAUUCUAGUAGGCGCAUUAAAAAGUAAAAGGAACAAGUUGACAUUAGCUUUAAUAGUCUCUUUUAUUUAACUCCAAAUAUUUAAAAUGUUACCAUUUCAGCAUGUCCUUGAUCUCACAAAACUACUGAGACACUUUAGAUUAAAUGUUCCCCAUACUGAGGCUUCAUAUCUGCUAUAUUCAGCCCCCGCAGCCCAUCUGAAUUCAGACUAGACACCGUUCGGCUGCUCGGUAGCUGCAUGGGACUGACGAGGGGCUGCCUCACUGGGCCGUGCAGGUCUAGGUGCACCAUUUGGAGAGGUUAAGAGCGCUGAAACUCUCUUGAGUUUGCAUAUUGCCUUUAUCUCAGUCCCUCCGUGAACAUAGACGAGUUAAGUAAACUUUCGGAGACUCGGUUUCCCAUUACGUGAAACAGGGAUAAAAAUUGUUCCUGUCUCACCGAGUUGUCAUAAGGGUUCAAUAAAUUCAAAAUACCCAGCGAAUGCUAAGUAUACGG